GUGCCAGCUUAGGCAGCACAUAUAACUAAAAUUGGAACGAUACAAAGAUUAGCAUGUCUCCUGCACAGGGAUGACACAAACUGGUGAAGUGAUUCAUAUUUUA